GCUCUGGCGUCUGCUUACCACACCACUGCAAAAAAUCUCAAACAAUGAGCUGUCAUCGCUGUCAUUGCCAGGCUAUUGGGAGUGGAGGACAUCAGAUUGUCUAUGAUGAUGAUAAUUAUUAUGAACCCAGUGGGAUGCCUGUUGUACAGUACUCACAGAACCAAUCGAGGAUGUUAUCACAGUUCUUCAACGGUGAACAUGUUGAGCUUCCAGGAAAUGGCGAGGUGACUCACAUUUACCCCAAUGGGUCUCGGAAAGUAGUAGUGAGGAAUGGCAAAAUUGCUUAUGCUGAAGUAAUCAAACACUACUAAUAAGAUCUGAAACACAUCACCCAGUUAUUCAGCAACUGCAAUGAUCUCAACGAUGACUUAAAUGUUAAUUUGACUUUCUUUACAUUCAUUUGUUAUCAAAAUUACUGUAAUUUUGUUUUACAUCUCAAAGAUCAGAAAUUUUGUCUCUAAACAAUCAUCAAAAUCAACUUCAUUUAAAGUAUUUGUCGGGUUGCUGUACUGUAUGCUGCUUGUACUCGAUUUUUUUUGUGUGUGUGUCAAUAAUCAGAAGUGAAAUUGAAUAAAUGAUGAUCAGAUUUAGUUGGAUUAUAUGAUUAAAGUUCAUUAAACUCUUUUUCCCUCAGUGAAUGCAGUGUUGCACAUUGUCGUUUGUCUGGAUUCUGCCGGUGGUGACAGGUUUUUAUUUUGCAUGUAGAUGAUAAUAACAAUAAUAUUAAAUAUAAAUUAAUUAAUAUCCAUUCUAACACCAGAUCAUUUAAAACAAAUUUGAAGAAAAAAAAUCUAGCACUA